rnacentral:rRNA from 1 species
AUAGCGUAUAUUAAAGUUGUUGAAGUUAAAAAGCUCGUAGUUGGAUCUCAGUUCGAGUUAGACGGUCCACUUGCCAGUGGUUACUGUCUGACUGAACACAUUAUCGAGUUGUCCUAUGGUGCUCUUCGCCGAGUGUCAUAGGCGAUCGAUACGUUUACUUUGAAAAAAUUAGAGUGCUCAAAGCAGGCGUUCAGCCCGAAUAAUGUUGCAUGGAAUAAUGGAAUAGGACCUCGGUUCUAUUUUGUUGGUCUUCGGAAUCUGAGGUAAUGAUUAAGAGGGACAGACGGGGGCAUUCGUAUUGCGACGCUAGAGGUGAAAUUCUUGGACCGUUGCAAGACGAA